CUACGUGCCAGCAGCCGCGGUAAUACGUAGGGUGCGAGCGUUAAUCGGAAUUACUGGGCGUAAAGCGGGCGCAGACGGUUACUUAAGCAGGAUGUGAAAUCCCCGGGCUUAACCUGGGAACUGCGUUCUGAACUGGGUGACUAGAGUGUGUCAGAGGGAGGUAGAAUUCCACGUGUAGCAGUGAAAUGCGUAGAGAUGUGGAGGAAUACCGAUGGCGAAGGCAGCCUCCUGGGAUAACACUGACGUUCAUGCCCGAAAGCGUGGGUAGCAAACAGGAUUAGAUACCCUGGUAGUCCACGCCCUAAACGAUGUCGAUUAGCUGUUGGGCAGCAUGACUGCUUAGUAGCGAAGCUAACGCGUGAAAUCGACCGCCUGGGGAGUACGGUCGCAAGAUUAAAACUCAAAGGAAUUGACGGGGACCCGCACAAGCGGUGGAUGAUGUGGAUUAAUUCGAUGCAACGCGAAGAACCUUACCKGUCUUGACAU
rnacentral:rRNA from 1 species